rnacentral:rRNA from 1 species
GACGAACGCUGGCGGCGUGCUUAACACAUGCAAGUCGAACGGAAAGGCCCUGCUUUUGUGGGGUGCUCGAGUGGCGAACGGGUGAGUAACACGUGAGUAACCUGCCCUUGACUUUGGGAUAACUUCAGGAAACUGGGGCUAAUACCGGAUAGGAGCUCCUGCUGCAUGGUGGGGUUUGGAAAGUUUCGGCGGUUGGGGAUGGACUCGCGGCUUAUCAGCUUGUUGGUGGGGUAGUGGCUUACCAAGGCUUUGACGGGUAGCCGGCCUGAGAGGGUGACCGGCCACAUUGGGACUGAGAUACGGCCCAGACUCCUACGGGAGGCAGCAGUGGGGAAUAUUGCACAAUGGGCGGAAGCCUGAUGCAGCAACGCCGCGUGCGGGAUGACGGCCUUCGGGUUGUAAACCGCUUCCGCCUGUGACGAAGCGUGAGUGACGGUAAUGGGUAAAGAAGCACCGGCUAACUACGUG